UACGUACCGUCCAAACGUUAUUCGGAAUUACUGGGCUUAAAGGGUUUGUAGGCGGCGCUGUUAGUCGGGUGUGAAAUCCCAGGGCUCAACCCUGGAACUGCGCCCGAUACUGGAAGGCUUGAAUCCGGGAGAGGGAUGCGGAAUUCCAGGUGUAGCGGUGAAAUGCGUAGAUAUCUGGAGGAACACCGGUGGCGAAGGCGGCAUCCUGGACCGGCAUUGACGCUGAGGCGCGAAAGCCAGGGGAGCAAACGGG
rnacentral:rRNA from 1 species